GUGACGGCGCGAGCAGGUGCGAAAGCAGGUCAUAGUGAUCCGGUGGUUCUGAAUGGAAGGGCCAUCGCUCAACGGAUAAAAGGUACUCCGGGGAUAACAGGCUGAUACCGCCCAAGAGUUCAUAUCGACGGCGGUGUUUGGCACCUCGAUGUCGGCUCAUCACAUCCUGGGGCUGAAGUAGGUCCCAAGGGUAUGGCUGUUCGCCAUUUAAAGUGGUACGCGAGCUGGGUUUAGAACGUCGUGAGACAGUUCGGUCCCUAUCUGCCGUGGGCGCUGGAGAACUGAGGGGGGCUGCUCCUAGUACGAGAGGACCGGAGUGGACGCAUCACUGGUGUUCGGGUUGUCAUGCCAAUGGCACUGCCCGGUAGCUAAAUGCGGAAGAGAUAAGUGCUGAAAGCAUCUAAGCACGAAACUUGCCCCGAGAUGAGUUCUCCCUGACUCCUUGAGAGUCCUGAAGGAACGUUGAAGACGACGACGUUGAUAGGCCGGGUGUGUAAGCGCAGCGAUGCGUUGAGCUAACCGGUACUAAUGAACCGUGAGGCUUAACCUUACAACGCCGAAGCUGUU
rnacentral:rRNA from 1 species